GACAGAGGGGGCAAGCGUUGCUCGGAAUUACUGGGCGUAAAGGGCGCGUAGGCGGGAUGGCAAGUCGGUCGUGAAAUCCCUCGGCUCAACCGAGGAACGUCGAUCGAUACUGCUGUUCUUGAGGAUUGCAGAGGAGACUGGAAUUCCCGGUGUAGCGGUGAAAUGUGUAGAGAUCGGGAGGAACACCGGUGGCGAAGGCGGGUCUCUGGGCAAUUCCUGACACUGAGGCACGAAGGCCAGGGGAGCAAACGGG
rnacentral:rRNA from 1 species